rnacentral:piRNA from 1 species
CCUGCCAACUAUUUCAUAUUGUUACAGUAA